GCUAAAUCAUACAGCGUUUGGACCUCAGGCUGUUCGGAUUGUACCUCCUAGAUUCUAAUCUAAUUGCACCAACAAUGGCGGUUUCCAGAAAUCGAAGAAGUUUAGUGAAUAAGAGCUAAAACCAUAUAGCGUUUGCACCUCAGGCUGCUCCAAUUGUACCUCCUAAAUUCUAAACCGAUUGCACCAACAAUGGCGGUUUCCUGAAAUCUUACUCAAUUGCCCCAUGCUCAAUGGGGUCUCAAGGGAUUCUAAUUUUCUGCGAAUUCCCAAUUCCAGCUUCUCAUAAUCAUUUCCGCAGAUUCAUAGCUGACGGCGGCCGUAAAAAUUACAAGACGCGUCGGUGGCGGUUUUUUACCGGCGGCCGGAGCGGCGGCUCGCGGUGGGAUAGGGACGUGAACUCGAACCCCAAUCGACGGUCCAGAUUCAGCGACGCUUAUGCGACGGACGAGUUCGAUGAGGAGGAUGGAUUCGGGUUCAGAAACACCGUGAAGCAGAGGGUUUGGUGGUCCGAUGAUGAUGAUGAUGCAGGAGAUGAAGAAAAAGAUGGCUUUGGGAUUCUCGAAGCUUCGAUUGGAUUCGACUGGAUUUUUAAGAUACUUCGAGCCUUUGGAUGGAUGGUUCCAGCAGUUGUGAUCUCGUUUCUGAUGGGCACGGGCCCUGAUGCUAUCGUCAUGGCGUUGGCUCUUCCCCUUGCUCAGUCAGCAUUUGCUCUAGCUGCUGACACGCUGUGGGGGAGAGCCGAUGGAACCCCAAGGCCGAAGUCUAAGAGGAAGAAGAGGCCUUUCGCUGGAUCUCAAGCUCGUUCUAGAGCAAGAAAAGAAAAAGAAGCCCGAACUCAGAAGAGGAAGGAAGCUGGGAAUUACAAGUCAUGGUUCGAGGGCAAUAGUAAUUCUGCAAAGGAGAGUAGGAACCAUCAAGAUUUUGGAGGGUGGGACGAGCUAGAUAAUCCAGUGAGAGCGGACAAGGAUCCUCGUGUGACGCCUAUUAAGAAGGAUGAAGAGCCAGGAGCCAACGAGAGGUUUAAGAUAAGUAGGAGAACAAAGGGCGAUAGUCCAUUGCUCAUGAGACUCUUGAUUGCAAUGUUCCCAUUCUUGGGAUUUUGGACCAAGUUAUUCUGAUCCUGAGUUUGCGUACAAAAUUAUUCUACACGGAUGCUAAGGUCGCUUGACAUUUACACAGGUGAGGAUCCAGAACGAGGCCAGGCCCGGUGAGGAUCCAGAAGAUCGACACUGCCAGUGCCCUUAAAGAUGCUGAAUUCUUGAACAUGCCUGGAUCAGUGUUCCGGUGUCGGAGUCUCCCUCGGCUCGAUCCUCGUCAUCUUGAACUGUGGCAGAUUGGAGUGGUCUUCAUGGUCAUGGUAGAUGUAGGCUAAACCACCAUGCCUGGUGACAUCCAUUCCGGCCAUUUCAUCGUCGGCCGAAAUCCUCAGCAGCUUCAGCUUGUGGAGGGCCAAGAACAGCGGUGCCAUUGUCGCCGUAACCCACCCAAUGAUCACCAGGAUCUGGAUGAUCUGGGCAGCCAAGAGCUUCCCGCCACCUCCCAUGAGCAGCCCGUAUGGCCUAUCCGGUCUCCCCGGGUAAACCUCGUUCACGAAAGCUUGCUUGGCGAAUAGCCCGGUGAAUAGCAGGCCCCCACGCGCCGCAGCCACCAUGCAGCUGCGCCGCCUCCAACGGUCGUCGUACUUC